rnacentral:rRNA from 1 species
AAGUCGUAACAAGGUCUCCGUAGGUGAACCUGCGGAGGGAUCAUUACCGAGCGAGGGCGCUCCGGCACCCGACCUCCCAACCCUUAGUCGUACCGUCCCCGUUGCUUCGGGGGGCGACCCGGCCCUCGCGUCGGCGCCCCUCGGAGGGCCACUUCCAACACCGCAUCACUGCGUCGGAGUACAGAAGCGAAAUGAAUCAAAACUUUCAACAACGGAUCUCUUGGUUCUGGCAUCGAUGAAGAACGCAGCGAAAUGCGAUAAGUAAUGUGAAUUGCAGAAUUCAGUGAAUCAUCGAAUCUUUGAACGCACAUUGCGCCCCUUGGCAUUCCGAGGGGCAUGCCCGUUCGAGCGUCAUUACACCACUCAAGCCUGGCUUGGUAUUGGGCGUCGGAACCCCGUCCGCGCCUCGAAAUCGUCGGCUGGACGGUCGGAAUCUCAGCGUUGUGGCAAUCAGUUCGCUGGCGAGGACGACCGGCUGCGCCGUGAAACCUUCCUCACAGGUUGACCUCGGAUCGGGUCGGGAUACCCGCUGAACUUAAGCAUAUCAAUAAGCGGAGGAAAAGAAACCAACAGGGAUUGCCCUAGUAACGGCGAGUGAAGCGGCAACAGCUCAAAUUUGAAAUCUGGCCCCGCGGCCCGAGUUGUAAUUUGGAGAGGAUGCUUCGGGGCAGCGGCUGGUCUAAGUUUCUUGGAACAGGACGUCACAGAGGGUGAGAAUCCCGUAUGUGACCGGCUGGCACCCUCUACGUAGCUCCUUCGACGAGUCGAGUUGUUUGGGAAUGCAGCUCUAAAUGGGAGGUAAAUUUCUUCUAAAGCUAAAUACCGGCCAGAGACCGAUAGCGCACAAGUAGAGUGAUCGAAAGAUGAAAAGCACUUUGGAAAGAGAGUUAAAAAGCACGUGAAAUUGUUGAAAGGGAAGCGCUUGCAUCCAGACUUGUGGGCGGUAUUCCGCCGGCCUUUUGGCCGGCUCACUUGCCGUCGACAGGCCAGCGUCGUCUGGGGCCGCCGGAGAAAGGCUUGGGGAAUGUGGCUCCCUCGGGAGUGUUAUAGCCCCUCGCACAAUACGGCGCGCCCCGGGCGAGGUCCGCGCUCCGGCAAGGACGCUGGCGUAAUGGUCGCAAGCGGCC